rnacentral:piRNA from 1 species
CCAUAGUGUUUAGGACCACCGAGCCCUAAUC